AUUAUAUAAUUAGGAAAGCUAGUUAUUGUCAGAAUGAACUUCUGGCUACAAGAAACCAUCAAAUUGCGGGAAAACCCUAAAGCAAUUUCAACCAAGCAGACAUGGUAACAUAGUUUGUGGCACAGGUAACGACUCGUGGUAUGGUAAAAUCGAAAUUGAUUAUCUAAUGUCUGAUAAAUGGGUAAUCCGCAGCCAAGCACCUAUCACUGUAUUUACAGUGAGGUGUGCAGUUCAUCGACUAAAUGUUGGUUGGCGCAAGCUUAAGAUAUAGUCAAGCCCCUUUCGAAAGAAUGCA
rfam:Fusarium poae strain 2516 mitochondrion mitochondrial, whole genome shotgun sequence.